UACGGAGGGUGCGAGCGUUAAUCGGAAUUACUGGGCGUAAAGGGUGCGUAGGUGGUGAGAUAAGUUAGCUGUGAAAGUCCUGGGCUUAACCUGGGGAGGUCAGCUAAGACUGUUUGACUAAGAGUAUGGGAGAGGGUAGUGGAAUUUCCGGUGUAGCGGUGAAAUGCGUAGAGAUCGGAAGGAACACCAGUGGCGAAGGCGGCUACCUGGCCUAAUACUGACACUGAGGCACGAAAGCGUGGGGAGCAAACAGG
rnacentral:rRNA from 1 species